CAAGGAAGAGAAUUUGUUAAUGAACUAAACCAGAGCCUUUGUGAGUUGCUAUCUAUUGAAAGAAGUGUGACAGCUGCUUAUCAUCCGCAAACAAAUGGCCUCGAUGAAAAGACCAAUGACAACAUAAAACGAGCUCUGAAAAAAAUGGUUAAUGAGCAGCAAGACAACUGGGACAUCUAUCUGGAUGCUACCUUAUUUUCUCUGAGGUCAAAAGUCCACACUACUACAAAACACUCACCAUUUCUUCUGAUGUAUGGAAGAGAAGCAGUUUUCCCAGCAGAAGUUCCUGUUGAG